rnacentral:rRNA from 1 species
GUGGGGAAUCUUGGACAAUGGGGGCAACCCUGAUCCAGCCAUGCCGCGUGAACGAUGAAGGCCUUAGGGUUGUAAAGUUCUUUCAGCUGGGAAGAUAAUGACGGUACCAGCAGAAGAAGCCCCGGCUAACUCCGUGCCAGCAGCCGCGGUAAUACGGAGGGGGCUAGCGUUGUUCGGAAUUACUGGGCGUAAAGCGCACGUAGGCGGAUAGUUAAGUCGGGGGUGAAAUCCCGGGGCUCAACCCCGGAACUGCCUUCGAUACUGGCUGUCUAGAGAUCGAGAGAGGUGAGUGGAAUUCCGAGUGUAGAGGUGAAAUUCGUAGAUAUUCGGAGGAACACCAGUGGCGAAGGCGGCUCACUGGCUCGAUACUGACGCUGAGGUGCGAAAGCGUGGGGAGCAAACAGGAUUAGAUACCCCAGUAGUCC